rnacentral:lncRNA from 1 species
GAUUCGCAAAGAGAAAACGCGAGAUUUUCACUUAAAUGGGGGUUUUGCGAAGGGAAAACGUGUGAUUUUCGCUUAAAUGUAGGAUUUCUGAAGAGAAAACUCGUGGUUUUUUGUGUUAAUUGAGGGAUUUGCGAAGAGAAAACGCGUGACUUUCGCUUAAAUGUGGGAUUUGAGAAAACGCGUGAUUUUCGCUUAAAUGUUGGAUUCUCGGAGAGAAAAUGCGUGAUUUUCGCUUAAAUGGGGGAUUUCUGAAAAGAAAACGCGUGAUUUUCGGGUUAAAUGGAAGAUUCCUGAAGAGAAAAUGCGUGUUUUUUGCUUAAACGGCGGAUUUGUGAAGAGAAAAUGCGUGUUUUUUGCUUAAAUGGGGGAUUUGCGAAGAGAAAACGCGUGAUUUUCGGUUAAAUGGGGGAUUUGCAAAGAUAAAACGUGUGAUUUUUGCUUAAAUGGGGUAUUUGAGAAGAGAAAAUUCGUGAUUUCGCAUUAAAUGGGGGAUUCUCAAAGAGAAAACGCUUGAUUUUCACUUAAAUUGACGAUUCUCAAAGAGAAAACGCGAGAUUUUCACUUAAAUGGGGGUUUUGCGAAGGGAAAACGUGUGAUUUUCGCUUAAAUGGGGGAUUUCUGAAGAGAAAACUCAUGGUUUUUUGUGUUAAUGGGGGAUUUGCGAAGAGAAAACGCGUGAUUUUCGCUUAAAUGGGGGAUUUGAGAAAACACAUGAUUUUCGCUUAAAUGUUGGAUUCUCGAAGAGAAAACGCGUGAUUUUCGCUUAAAUGGGGGAUUUCCGAAGAGAAAACGCGUGAUUUUCAAGUUAAAUGGGGGAUUUCCGAAGAGAAAACGCGUGAUUUUCGCUUAAAUGGGGUAUUUGAGAAGAGAAAAUUCGUGAUCUUCACUUAAAUGGGGGAUUCUCAAAGAGAAAACGCUUGAUUUUCACUUAAAUUGACGAUUCUCAAAGAGAAAACGCGAGAUUUUCACUUAAAUGGGGGUUUUGCGAAGGGAAAACGUGUGAUUUUCGCUUAAAUGUGGGAUUUCUGAAGAGAAAACUCGUGGUUUUUUGUGUUAAUUGGGGGAUUUGCGAAGGGAAAACGCGUGAUUUUCGGGUUAAAUGGGGGAUUUUCGAAGAGAAAACGCGUGUUUUUCUGGUAAAAUGGGGGAUUUGCGAAGAGAAAAUGCUUGGUUUUCUGGUUAAAUGGGGGAUUUGCGAAGAGAAAACGCGUGACUUUCGCUUAAAUGUGGGAUUUGAGAAAACGCGUGAUUUUCGCUUAAGUGUUGGAUUCUCGGAGAGAAAACACGUGAUUUUCGCUUAAAUGGGGGAUUUCCGAAAAGAAAACGCGUGAUUUUCUGGUUAAAUGGGGGAUUUGCGAAGAGAAAACGCGUGUUUUUCGCUUAAAUGGGGGACUUGCAAAUUGAAAAUGUGCGAUUAUCGGGUUAAAUGGGGGAUUUUCGAAGAGAAAACACGUGUUUUCCACAUAAAUGGGGGAUUUCUGAAGAGAAAACGCGUGACUUUCGCAUAAAUGGGGGAUUUGCAAAUUGAAAAUGCAUGAUUUUCAAGUUAAAUGGGGGAUUUGCAAAGAGAAAACACGUGAUUUUCGGGUUAAAUGGAAGAUUCCUGAAGAGAAAAUGCGUGUUUUUUGCUUAACGGCGGAUUUGUGAAGAGAAAAUGCGUGUUUUUCGGGUUAAAUGGAAGAUUCCUGAAGAGAAAACGCGUGAUUUUUGCUUAAAUGGGGAUUUGUGAAGAGAAAACGCGUGUUUUUCGCUUAAAUGGGGGAUUUGUGAAGAGAAAACGCGUGAUUUUCACUUAAAUGGGGGUUUUGCGAAGGGAAAACGUGUGAUUUUCGCUUAAAUGUGGGAUUUCUGAAGAGAAAACUCGUGGUUUUUUGUGUUAAUUGGGGGAUUUGCGAAGAGAAAACGCGUGAUUUUCGCUUAAAUGGGGGAUUUGAGAGAAACACAUGAUUUUCUGGUUAAAUGGGGGAUUUGCGAAGAGAAAAC